rnacentral:rRNA from 1 species
UACGAAGGGGGCUAGCGUUGCUCGGCAUCACUGGGCGUAAAGGGUGCGUAGGCGGGUCUUUAAGUCAGGGGUGAAAUCCUGGAGCUCAACUCCAGAACUGCCUUUGAUACUGAGGAUCUUGAGUUCGGGAGAGGUGAGUGGAACUGCGAGUGUAGAGGUGAAAUUCGUAGAUAUUCGCAAGAACACCAGUGGCGAAGGCGGCUCACUGGCCCGGUACUGACGCUGAGGUGCGAAAGCGUGGGGAGCAAACAGG